UGCUCUCUGCCCUGCCCGUGAGGUAACAACGCCCACGCGGAAUACUUUCUAUCCGGGACAGCUUCAGAGGCGUGGUGAGCAGGCCCGCCGGGCAGUGGGAAGCCUGAAGCGCUUACAAGCUAUCCCACCUUGUUGGCCGUCGACGUGUGGCCACGGACCCACGGCAGGAUGGAGAGCUC
rnacentral:other from 1 species